rnacentral:rRNA from 1 species
UACGGAGGGUGCGAGCGUUGUUCGGAAUCACUGGGCGUAAAGGGCGCGUAGGCGGUUGGAUAAGUCUUGUGUGAAAUCUUCGGGCUCAACUCGAAGUCUGCACGAGAAACUAUCUGGCUUGAGUGUGGGAGAGGUGAGUGGAAUUCCUGGUGUAGCGGUGAAAUGCGUAGAUAUCAGGAGGAACACCUGUGGCGAAAGCGGCUCACUGGACCACAACUGACGCUGAGGCGCGAAAGCUAGGGGAGCAAACAGG